ACGAACGCUGGCGGCGUGCUUAACACAUGCCAGUCGAACGGAAAGGCCCUGCUUGCCGGGUACUCGAGUGGCGAACGGGUGAGUAACACGUGGGUGAUCUGCCCUGCACUUCGGGAUAAGCCUGGGAAACUGGGUCUAAUACCGGAUAGGAGCCAUUUUUAGUGUGAUGGUUGGAAAGUUUUUUCGGUGUAGGAUGAGCUCGCGGCCUAUCAGCUUGUUGGUGGGGUAAUGGCCUACCAAGGCGGCGACGGGUAGCCGGCCUGAGAGGGUGGACGGCCACAUUGGGACUGAGAGACGGCCCAGACUCCUACGGGAGGCAGCAGUGGGGAAUAUUGCACAAUGGGCGCAAGCCUGAUGCAGCGACGCCGCGUGGGGGAUGACGGCCUUCGGGUUGUAAACUCCUUUCGCUAGGGACGAAGCUUUUUGUGACGGUACCUAGAUAAGAAGCACCGGCUAACUACGUG
rnacentral:rRNA from 1 species